UACGUAGGGCGCAAGCGUUAUCCGGAAUUAUUGGGCGUAAAGAGCUCGUAGGCGGUUUGUCGCGUCUGCCGUGAAAGUCCGGGGCUCAACUGCGGAUCUGCGGUGGGUACGGGCAGACUAGAGUGAUGUAGGGGAGACUGGAAUUCCUGGUGUAGCGGUGAAAUGCGCAGAUAUCAGGAGGAACACCGAUGGCGAAGGCAGGUCUCUGGGCAUUAACUGACGCUGAGGAGCGAAAGCAUGGGGAGCGAACAGG
rnacentral:rRNA from 1 species